CACCGUAUGGUGCGGGUAGCACCCCUACUCCCCAACCCUCUGUUUUUCUCUAUCCAUCUCUCUCCCAGAAGCCCCCCUCGCGUUGAGCCCAGACCGAGGGUCUGCUCCUCUCUGCAUCGCUGCCAUCAUUCAACGAUGCCGUCUCAGUUUAGAGAUUUGGGCGAAAUUACAAAGGUGCUGCCGUUGACGCCACUAUGCACAGCCAACUGAGACUCCUCUCCCGAGCCUCCAGUUUAUUUUCAAAAAAUUGAAAGUGAAAGGAGAAAAGAACAAACAACAAGAUUGCUAGAGGCUUACUAAAAUGCCAAAUCCCAAGUAUGGGUUUGCUUAUCACCUCACCUCCUGUAAGUCCUACUUUAGCUUAUUUUGGUUUUUCUUUGUAAUGUAAUUUCUGAUUCUAACUGAUUGGUUUUGCUCAACUUUAUGGGUUCUAAGUCCUCUCCUUCAAGCUCCCAAUGUAAGUACCUUAAACAGAGAGAAGUGUUCCUCUAGGAGUCUAACCAAUAUUUUCUUACUUAGGUGAACUUGACUUUGGUUUGGGAAAGCUUGAAAUGCUUUGAGAAGAUUUCACCCUGAAAUCUAUUUAUCAAAAAAAAAAGAUUUCACCCUGAAAUCUAUUAUUUUGUAAAUUCAAAAUAUUCAAGGAGGUACAUUUGGAAACCAAUUCCUUUGGUACCUUCCCCAAGAAUCUAUUAAUGGACAAAUCCAAUAUUUCCAAA